rnacentral:rRNA from 1 species
GGGUGACGAGCGGCGGACGGGUGAGUAAUGUCUGGGAAACUGCCUGAUGGAGGGGGAUAACUACUGGAAACGGUAGCUAAUACCGCAUAACGUCGCAAGACCAAAGAGGGGGACCUUCGGGCCUCUUGCCAUCAGAUGUGCCCAGAUGGGAUUAGCUAGUAGGUGGGGUAACGGCUCACCUAGGCGACGAUCCCUAGCUGGUCUGAGAGGAUGACCAGCCACACUGGAACUGAGACACGGUCCAGACUCCUACGGGAGGCAGCAGUGGGGAAUAUUGCACAAUGGGCGCAAGCCUGAUGCAGCCAUGCCGCGUGUAUGAAGAAGGCCUUCGGGUUGUAAAGUACUUUCAGCGGGGAGGAAGGUGUUGAGGUUAAUAACCUCAGCAAUUGACGUUACCCGCAGAAGAAGCACCGGCUAACUCCGUGCCAGCAGCCGCGGUAAUACGGAGGGUGCAAGCGUUAAUCGGAAUUACUGGGCGUAAAGCGCACGCAGGCGGUCUGUCAAGUCGGAUGUGAAAUCCCCGGGCUCAACCUGGGAACUGCAUUCGAAACUGGCAGGCUAGAGUCUUGUAGAGGGGGGUAGAAUUCCAGGUGUAGCGGUGAAAUGCGUAGAGAUCUGGAGGAAUACCGGUGGCGAAGGCGGCCCCCUGGACAAAGACUGACG